rnacentral:rRNA from 1 species
AUUGAACGCUGGCGGCAUGCCUUACACAUGCAAGUCGAACGGCAGCACGGGAGCUUGCUCCUGGUGGCGAGUGGCGAACGGGUGAGUAAUACAUCGGAACGUACCCUGAAGUGGGGGAUAACGUAGCGAAAGUUACGCUAAUACCGCAUAUUCUGUGAGCAGGAAAGAGGGGGAUCGCAAGACCUCUUGCUUUAGGAGCGGCCGAUGUCGGAUUAGCUAGUUGGUGAGGUAAAGGCUCACCAAGGCGACGAUCCGUAGCGGGUCUGAGAGGAUGAUCCGCCACACUGGGACUGAGACACGGCCCAGACUCCUACGGGAGGCAGCAGUGGGGAAUUUUGGACAAUGGGCGCAAGCCUGAUCCAGCCAUGCCGCGUGAGUGAAGAAGGCCUCGGGUUGU